rnacentral:rRNA from 1 species
CGAAAGGGUGACGAAGCGACGCCGCGUGUGGGAAGAAGGCCUUCGGGUUGUAAACCACUGUCAGGAGUUAAGAAGUGUAGGGGAGCUAAUAGUGUCAUUACUUGACUAAGGCUCCAGAGGAAGCCACGGCUAACUCUGUGCCAGCAGCCGCGGUAAUACAGAGGUGGCAAGCGUUGUUCGGAAUUAUUGGGCGUAAAGAGCACGUAGGCGGUUCUGCAAGUCGGCUGUGAAAGCCUUCCGCUCAACGGAAGAACAGCAGUUGAUACUACAGGACUAGAGUGCGGGAGGGGAGAGUGGAACUUCUGGUGGAGCGGUGAAAUGCGUAGAUAUCAGAAGGAACGCCGGCGGCGAAAGCGACUCUCUGGCCCGUAACUGACGCUGAGUGUGCGAAAGCUAGGGGAGCAAACGGGAUUAGAUACCCCGGUAGUCCUAGCCGU